rnacentral:rRNA from 1 species
AUUGAACGCUGGCGGCAGGCUUAACACAUGCAAGUCGAGCGAGCGGCGGACGGGUGAGUAAUGUAUGGGGACUGCCCGAUAGAGGGGGAUAACUACUGGAAACGGUGGCUAAUACCGCAUACUAUCGGAUAACCCAUAUGGGAUUAGCUAGUAGGUGAGGUAAAGGCUCACCAAGGCGACGAUCUCUAGCUGGUCUGAGAGGAUGACCAGCCACACUGGGACUGGGACACGGCCCAUACUCCUACGGAGGCGGCAGUGGGGAAUAUUGCGCAAGGGGCGCAAGCCUGACGCAGCCAUGCCGCGUGUAUGAAGAAGGCCUUAGGGUUGUAAAGUACUUUCUGUAGGGAGGCGUUACCCGCAGAAGAAGCACCGGCUAACUCCGUGCCAGCAGCCGCGGUAAUAC